UUGCCCACUUUAGGAUCUCUCAUUCUUUAAGUGGCCAACACAGGGGGGUAUAGAAAAAGCUCUAUAAAACUCAAAGUGAAGUGUGUGUUUUUGCUUUGAAUCCUGUCUGGAGCAAUAUUG